GGUUGCGAUCAUACCAGCACUAAUGCACCGGAUCCCAUCAGAACUCCGCAGUUAAGCGUGCUUUGGCGAGAGUAGUACUAGGAUGGGUGACCCCCUGGGAAGUCCUCGUGUUGCAACCCCUC
rnacentral:rRNA from 1 species